UACGUAGGUGGCGAGCGUUAUCCGGAAUGAUUGGGCGUAAAGGGUGCGUAGGCGGAUUGAUAAGUUAGAGGUGAAAUGUCCGAGCUCAACUCGGGAACUGCCUCUAAUACUGUUGAUCUAGAGAGUAGAUGCGGUAGGCGGAAUGUAUGGUGUAGCGGUGAAAUGCUUAGAGAUCAUACAGAACACCGAUUGCGAAGGCAGCAUACCGGCGCCCUACUGACGCUGAGGCACGAAAGUGCGGGUAUCGAACAGG
rnacentral:rRNA from 1 species